rnacentral:misc_RNA from 1 species
GUGAAUCAUCGAAUUUUUGAACGCAAAUUGCGCUUCCUGGCAUCCCGGGGAGUAUGCCUGUUUGAGGGUCAGUAUUAAUAAAAAAUCGGUUUUUUUUCAAAUUGUGACGGUUCCGGAGUUUGGGCUAUCUUAACAUUUUUUGUUAAGAGUCUUAAAAUUGACCUUUUUUGUGCAUUUUUAAAUGUACAUACUUUUUUUUUAUUCGUCUAUUCUUAUUGCCAAAAUCUUAUUAGAUUCG